UUAAGCGACUAAGCGUACACGGUGGAUGCCCUGGCAGUCAGAGGCGAUGAAGGACGUGCUAAUCUGCGAUAAGCGUCGGUAAGGUGAUAUGAACCGUUAUAACCGGCGAUUUCCGAAUGGGGAAACCCAGUGUGAUUCGUCACACUAUCAUUAACUGAAUCCAUAGGUUAAUGAGGCGAACCGGGGGAACUGAAACAUCUAAGUACCCCGAGGAAAAGAAAUCAACCGAGAUUCCCCCAGUAGCGGCGAGCGAACGGGGAGCAGCCCAGAGCCUGAAUCAGUGUGUGUGUUAGUGGAAGCGUCUGGAAAGGCGCGCGAUACAGGGUGACAGCCCCGUACACAAAAAUGCACAUACUGUGAGCUCGAUGAGUAGGGCGGGACACGUGGUAUCCUGUCUGAAUAUGGGGGGACCAUCCUCCAAGGCUAAAUACUCCUGACUGACCGAUAGUGAACCAGUACCGUGAGGGAAAGGCGAAAAGAACCCCGGCGAGGGGAGUGAAAAAGAACCUGAAACCGUGUACGUACAAGCAGUGGGAGCACAGAGCAAUCUGUGUGACUGCGUACCUUUUGUAUAAUGGGUCAGCGACUUAUAUUCUGUAGCAAGGUUAACCGAAUAGGGGAGCCGAAGGGAAACCGAGUCUUAACUGGGCGUUAAGUUGCAGGGUAUAGACCCGAAACCCGGUGAUCUAGCCAUGGGCAGGUUGAAGGUUGGGUAACACUAACUGGAGGACCGAACCGACUAAUGUUGAAAAAUUAGCGGAUGACUUGUGGCUGGGGGUGAAAGGCCAAUCAAACCGGGAGAUAGCUGGUUCUCCCCGAAAGCUAUUUAGGUAGCGCCUCGUGAAUUCAUCUCCGGGGGUAGAGCACUGUUUCGGCAAGGGGGUCAUCCCGACUUACCAACCCGAUGCAAACUGCGAAUACCGGAGAAUGUUAUCACGGGAGACACACGGCGGGUGCUAACGUCCGUCGUGAAGAGGGAAACAACCCAGACCGCCAGCUAAGGUCCCAAAGUCAUGGUUAAGUGGGAAACGAUGUGGGAAGGCCCAGACAGCCAGGAUGUUGGCUUAGAAGCAGCCAUCAUUUAAAGAAAGCGUAAUAGCUCACUGGUCGAGUCGGCCUGCGCGGAAGAUGUAACGGGGCUAAACCAUGCACCGAAGCUGCGGCAGCGACGCUUAUGCGUUGUUGGGUAGGGGAGCGUUCUGUAAGCCUGCGAAGGUGUGCUGUGAGGCAUGCUGGAGGUAUCAGAAGUGCGAAUGCUGACAUAAGUAACGAUAAAGCGGGUGAAAAGCCCGCUCGCCGGAAGACCAAGGGUUCCUGUCCAACGUUAAUCGGGGCAGGGUGAGUCGACCCCUAAGGCGAGGCCGAAAGGCGUAGUCGAUGGGAAACAGGUUAAUAUUCCUGUACUUGGUGUUACUGCGAAGGGGGGACGGAGAAGGCUAUGUUGGCCGGGCGACGGUUGUCCCGGUUUAAGCGUGUAGGCUGGUUUUCCAGGCAAAUCCGGAAAAUCAAGGCUGAGGCGUGAUGACGAGGCACUAGGGUGCUGAAGCAACAAAUGCCCUGCUUCCAGGAAAAGCCUCUAAGCAUCAGGUAACAUCAAAUCGUACCCCAAACCGACACAGGUGGUCAGGUAGAGAAUACCAAGGCGCUUGAGAGAACUCGGGUGAAGGAACUAGGCAAAAUGGUGCCGUAACUUCGGGAGAAGGCACGCUGAUAUGUAGGUGAAGUCCCUCGCGGAUGGAGCUGAAAUCAGUCGAAGAUACCAGCUGGCUGCAACUGUUUAUUAAAAACACAGCACUGUGCAAACACGAAAGUGGACGUAUACGGUGUGACGCCUGCCCGGUGCCGGAAGGUUAAUUGAUGGGGUCAGCGCAAGCGAAGCUCUUGAUCGAAGCCCCGGUAAACGGCGGCCGUAACUAUAACGGUCCUAAGGUAGCGAAAUUCCUUGUCGGGUAAGUUCCGACCUGCACGAAUGGCGUAAUGAUGGCCAGGCUGUCUCCACCCGAGACUCAGUGAAAUUGAACUCGCUGUGAAGAUGCAGUGUACCCGCGGCAAGACGGAAAGACCCCGUGAACCUUUACUAUAGCUUGACACUGAACAUUGAGCCUUGAUGUGUAGGAUAGGUGGGAGGCUUUGAAGUGUGGACGCCAGUCUGCAUGGAGCCGACCUUGAAAUACCACCCUUUAAUGUUUGAUGUUCUAACGUUGACCCGUAAUCCGGGUUGCGGACAGUGUCUGGUGGGUAGUUUGACUGGGGCGGUCUCCUCCUAAAGAGUAACGGAGGAGCACGAAGGUUGGCUAAUCCUGGUCGGACAUCAGGAGGUUAGUGCAAUGGCAUAAGCCAGCUUGACUGCGAGCGUGACGGCGCGAGCAGGUGCGAAAGCAGGUCAUAGUGAUCCGGUGGUUCUGAAUGGAAGGGCCAUCGCUCAACGGAUAAAAGGUACUCCGGGGAUAACAGGCUGAUACCGCCCAAGAGUUCAUAUCGACGGCGGUGUUUGGCACCUCGAUGUCGGCUCAUCACAUCCUGGGGCUGAAGUAGGUCCCAAGGGUAUGGCUGUUCGCCAUUUAAAGUGGUACGCGAGCUGGGUUUAGAACGUCGUGAGACAGUUCGGUCCCUAUCUGCCGUGGGCGCUGGAGAACUGAGGGGGGCUGCUCCUAGUACGAGAGGACCGGAGUGGACGCAUCACUGGUGUUCGGGUUGUCAUGCCAAUGGCACUGCCCGGUAGCUAAAUGCGGAAGAGAUAAGUGCUGAAAGCAUCUAAGCACGAAACUUGCCCCGAGAUGAGUUCUCCCUGACUCCUUGAGAGUCCUGAAGGAACGUUGAAGACGACGACGUUGAUAGGCCGGGUGUGUAAGCGCAGCGAUGCGUUGAGCUAACCGGUACUAAUGAACCGUGAGGCUUAACCUU
rnacentral:rRNA from 1 species